rnacentral:misc_RNA from 1 species
GAUGAAGAACGCAGCGAAAUGCGAUAAGUAAUGUGAAUUGCAGAAUUCAGUGAAUCAUCGAAUCUUUGAACGCACAUUGCGCCCGCCAGCAUUCUGGCGGGCAUGCCUGUUCGAGCGUCAUUUCAACCCUCGAGCCCCCCCGGGGGCCUCGGUGUUGGGGGACGGCACACCAGCCGCCCCCGAAAUGCAGCGGCGACCCCGCCGCAGCCUCCCCUGCGUAGUAGCACACACCUCGCACCGGAGCGCGGAGGCGGUCACGCCGUAAAACGCCCAACUUUCUUAGAGUUGACCUCGGAUCAGGUAGGAAUACCCGCUGAACUUAAGCAUAUCAAUAAGCGGAGGA